AAUCUUAUAGUUUAAUUUAAAACAUUAAAUUGCAAAUUUAAUAUUGAUCCUUAUCUAAGAUUU
rnacentral:tRNA from 1 species